AAGACUAUACUUUCAGGGGUCAUUUCUGUAGUUGGUCACUAGAGGAGAGUGAUCGCACCUGUACGGCGUCACAAACCACGAGGAGGAUGGUGUUGCUCUCU
rnacentral:snoRNA from 1 species